UCCAAACACGUGAUCAUGAGAUAAAAUAAUCUACCAAUGAGACAUCUACACUGUUUGGGAUCAUCACAAAGUUGUCUUGAAUCAAGAUCAAGUUUAUGUUGUUGAUUCAUGGGUGAGGAAAUCAGUUUGUAACUCGAUGCUCCCCUUAUUUGGUAAAGCCCUAAGGAAUCUUCAUGUAGACUUCUUUCUUCAAGAUUACCAUGAAAAAAAAAAGCUAUUGACAUUUAACUUAUGGAGUUCCCAAUUGCACACUAAAGAACAAUAAUAAGGCAUUACGUUGUAACCAUUUUGGCCACCGGGGUACAUCUCUCUCAUGCAAGGCCUUUAAGUGCGCGAGUGUUUUAAUCAAGACCCUUUAAUGUGCAAUUGAUCAGUUUGGGGUCUUGAUGUGCGCAGUACUCCAAUACGAGGCUGUUUGGGGCCCGUCCAUUGUGUGCGUGGCCUCGUUGGGUGUGAAUUAGGUGUGCACGACCCACUAGUGC
rnacentral:lncRNA from 1 species